rnacentral:rRNA from 1 species
AUUGAACGCUGGCGGCAUGCCUUACACAUGCAAGUCGAACGGUAACGCGGGGCAACCUGGCGACGAGUGGCGAACGGGUGAGUAAUACAUCGGAACGUGCCCAGUAGUGGGGGAUAGCCCGGCGAAAGCCGGAUUAAUACCGCAUACGACCUACGGGUGAAAGCGGGGGAUCGCAAGACCUCGCGCUAUUGGAGCGGCCGAUGUCAGAUUAGCUAGUUGGUGGGGUAAAAGCCUACCAAGGCGACGAUCUGUAGCUGGUCUGAGAGGACGACCAGCCACACUGGGACUGAGACACGGCCCAGACUCCUACGGGAGGCAGCAGUAGGGAAUAUUGGUCAAUGGGCGAGAGCCUGAACCAGCCAUGCCGCGUGCAGGAAGAAGGCCCUCUGGGUUGUAAACUGCUUUUGACCAGGGCCAAAAUACUCAUGCGUGAGGAAUUGAGAGUACUGGUAGAAUAAAGCACCGGCUAACUCCGUGCCAGCAGCCGCGGUAAU